GGACUGUUGGUGUACUGGUAACACUCUUGCCUUCCAAGCAAGCGAAGUGGGUUCGAUUCCCGCACAGUUCA
rnacentral:tRNA from 1 species